rnacentral:rRNA from 1 species
GUGCCAGCCGCCGCGGUAAUACGGAGGGUGCAAGCGUUAUUCGGAAUUAUUGGGCGUAAAGCGCGUGUAGGCGGGGAGGCAAGUCUGAUGUGAAAGCCCCGGGCUUAACCCGGGAAGUGCAUUGGAAACUGCAUCUCUUGAGUACUGGAGAGGAAGGGGGAAUUCCCGGUGUAGAGGUGAAAUUCGUAGAGAUCGGGAGGAAUACCAGUGGCGAAGGCGCCCUUCUGGACGGUUACUGACGCUGAGACGCGAAAGCGUGGGGAGCAAACAGGAUUAGAUACCCUGGUAGUCC